UACGGAGGGUGCAAGCGUUAUCCGGAUUUACUGGGUUUAAAGGGUGCGUAGGCGGUUCUUUAAGUCAGGGGUGAAAACUUCGAGCUUAACUCGAAAACUGCCAUUGAUACUAUUGAUCUUGAAUUUAGUUGAGGUUGGCGGAAUGUGUCGUGUAGCGGUGAAAUGCUUAGAUAUGACACAGAACACCGAUUGCGAAGGCAGCUGGCUAAACUAAAAUUGACGCUGAGGCACGAAAGUGUGGGGAUCAAACAGG
rnacentral:rRNA from 1 species